rnacentral:rRNA from 1 species
GGCGGACGGGUGAGGAACACGUGGGCAAUCUGCCCACCGGUGGGGGGUAGCCCUCGGAAACGGGGGGUAAUUCCGCAUGUGCGUGCCCAACGAGUCGGUUGGGUACGGAAAGCCUUUCGAGGCGCCGGUGGAGGAGCCUGCGACCGAUUAGCUGGUUGGGGGGGUCACGGCUUCCCAAGGCGAUGAUCGGUAGCUGGUCUGAGAGGAUGGCCAGCCACACUGGGACUGAGAUACGGCCCAGACUCAUACGGGAGGCAGCAGUGGGGAAUCUUGCGCAAUGGGCGGAAGCCUGACGCAGCGACGCCGCGUGAGGGGUGACGGCCUUCGGGUUGUAAACCUCUUUCAGCUCCGACGAAGCGGGAGUGACGGUAGGAGCAGAAGAAGCACCGGCCAACUACGUGCCAGCAGCCGCGGUAAUACGUAGGGUGCAAGCGUUGUCCGGAAUUAUUGGGCGUAAAGAGCUCGUAGGCGGUCUGUCGCGUCGGCUGUGAAAACUCGGGGCUCAACCCUGAGCUGGCAGCUGAUACGGGCAGGCUGGAGUUCGGCAGGGGAGACUGGAAUUCCUGGUGUAGCGGUGAAAUGCGCAGAUAUCAGGAGGAACACCGGUGGCGAAGGCGGGU